rnacentral:lncRNA from 1 species
AAAAUUCCACACAAAACUUAGGGAUAAAGGCAUUUGACUAUAUCUUGAUGUUAUCUUUUGAGCAUAUUAUUACCUUCAGAUUGACCUCAGACGGCAUUAGAUCACUCCAAUCACAGAAGCAAAGUAUCAGAGCACAAUACUACAGCGAAUGACAGCCAAUGUUGUGAUCAGUGGAAAGUCAAACAAAUUUCCCAUUGCCAUUAAAUUUGUUUUUCAAUUUUCUUUUUAAGGAUUUUUGCAUCCUUG